GAAAGGCUUCGGCCGGACAGGGAUGGGCAUGCGGCGCAUUAGGCAGUAGGCGGGGUAACGGCCCACCUAACCGACGAUGCGUAGGGGUUCUGAGAGGAAGGUCCCCCACACUGGUACUGAGACACGGACCAGACUCCUACGGGAGGCAGCAGUGAGGAAUAUUGGUCAAUGGUCGGGAGACUGAACCAGCCAAGCCGCGUGAGGGAUGAAGGUACAGAGUAUCGUAAACCUCUUUUGUCAGGGAACAAAGGCGGGGACGUGUCCCCGGAUGAGUGUACCUGAAGAAAAAGCAUCGGCUAACUCCGUGCCAGCAGCCGCGGUAAUACGGAGGAUGCGAGCGUUAUCCGGAUUUAUUGGGUUUAAAGGGUGCGCAGGCGGUCUGUUAAGUCAGCGGUCAAAGCCCGGGGCUCAACCCCGGCCCGCCGUUGAAACUGGCAGUCUCGAGUUGGAGAGAAGUAUGCGGAAUGCGCGGUGUAGCGGUGAAAUGCAUAGAUAUCGCGCAGAACUCCGAUUGCGAAGGCAGCAUGCCGGCUCCACACUGACGCUGAGGCACGAAAGCGUGGGUAUCGAACAGGAUUAGAUACCCUGGUAGUCCACGCAGUAAACGAUGA
rnacentral:rRNA from 1 species